rnacentral:sRNA from 1 species
GCCAGGCCUGGUGGCACAUGCCUGUAAUCCCAGCAACUCAGGAGGCUGAGGUAGGAGGAUCUCAAGUUCAAAGCCAGCCUCAGCAACUGAGCAAGGCCUUAAGUAACUCAGUGAGACCCUGUCUCUA